rnacentral:rRNA from 1 species
UACGAAGGGGGCUAGCGUUGCUCGGAAUCACUGGGCGUAAAGCGCACGUAGGCGGAUCUUUAAGUCAGGGGUGAAAUCCUGGAGCUUAACUCCAGAACUGCCUUUGAUACUGGGGAUCUCGAGUCCGGGAGAGGUGAGUGGAACUCCGAGUGUAGAGGUGAAAUUCGUAGAUAUUCGGAAGAACACCAGUGGCGAAGGCGGCUCACUGGCCCGGUACUGACGCUGAGGUGCGAAAGCGUGGGGAGCAAACAGG